AGACACUCCUGGAGAGUGCAGCGGCAUCCAGAAGCAAAGCUUGCAUUCUCUUGCCAAGUGACUUCCUAACUUCACUGAAAAGCGCUCACUUUUUCAGCUCGCAAAAACUCUUCAAGGACAACGGGUAAGAUGUACGUGGAAGUUAAUAUUGAGGGGGCAGAUUCUGGAGCGGAGGAUGAAAUUCACACGUUCCAGGAAUCAGUAUCGUGAACAUCAGUGCAGCAGUUCUGGUCACCUGGAUUUAUAAACACCAAGAAGUAGCAACAGCCAGUGUGCAAGUCACUGACAACCCAAGUCACCAAAAAUCUUACUGAGAACCCAUUAGCUCCUUGAAUUAAAGAUUAUUUUGUGAAAA
ensembl:antisense 1810041H14Rik RIKEN cDNA 1810041H14 gene